UACGUAGGCAGCGAGCGUUAUCCGGAUUCACUGGGUUUAAAGGGUGCGUAGGUGGCUUUGUAAGUCAGUGGUGAAAUCUCGGAGCUUAACUCCGCAACUGCCAUUGAUACUGCUUAGCUUGAAUCAAGUAGAGGUGGAUGGAAUAUUACAUGUAGCGGUGAAAUGCUUAGAUAUGUAAUAGAACACCGAUUGCGAAGGCAGUUCACUAUGCUUGUAUUGACACUGAGGCACGAAAGCGUGGGGAUCAAACAGG
rnacentral:rRNA from 1 species